rnacentral:sRNA from 1 species
CUCUGUCAAUUGUCAUUUUGAUUAUUCGAUGUAGUUAGAUUUAUGAUUAGGAGAUUGUAGUUUUAGGUUAAACCUGAUUGAGAAAAAGCAGAGUUCUGUUGCAAUUUGACAGAUCUCACGUAUACUUCAGGGAAAUUGAAUUGGUCAUCGUGAUUGGGUGAAUCUAUGUUUAUAUAUCUCAUAACUAUAAGAUUCAGUACAUGAUGGUACAUUGAUUUAUCAUUUCACUUUUUGAGGCUU